rnacentral:rRNA from 1 species
UACGGGGGAAAGCAGGGGAUCACUUGUGACCUUGCGUUAAUAGAUGAGCCUAAGUCGGAUUAGCUAGUUGGUGGGGUAAAGGCCUACCAAGGCGACGAUCUGUAGCGGGUCUGAGAGGGAUGAUCCGCCACACUGGGACUGAGACACGGCCCCAGACUCCUACGGGAGGCAGCAGUGGGGAAUAUUGGACAAUGGGGGGAACACCUGAUCCAGCCAUGCCGCGUGUGUGAAGAAGGCCUUUAUGGUUUGUAAAGCACUUUUAAGCGAGGAGGAGGCUCUUUUGGUUAAUACCCAAGAUGAGUGGACGUUACUCGCAGAAUAAGCACCGGCUAACUCUGUGCCAGCAGCCGCGGUAAUACAGAGGGUGCGAGCGUUAAUCGGAUUUACUGGGCGUAAAGCGUGCGUAGGCGGCUUUUUAAGUCGGAUGUGAAAUCCCCGAGCUUAACUUGGGAAUUGCAUUCGAUACUGGGAAGCUAGAGUAUGGGAGAGGAUGGUAGAAUUCCAGGUGUAGCGGUGAAAUGCGUAGAGAUCUGGAGGAAUACCGAUGGCGAAGGCAGCCAUCUGGCCUAAUACUGACGCUGAGGUACGAAAGCAUGGGGAGCAAACAGGAUUAGAUACCCUGGUAGUCCAUGCCGUAAACGAUGUGCUACUAGCCGUUGGGGUCUUUGAGACUUUAGUGGCGCAGCUAACGCGAUAAGUAGACCGCCUGGGGAGUACGGUCGCAAGACUAAAACUCAAAUGAAUUGACGGGGGCCCGCACAAGCGGUGGAGCAUGUGGUUUAAUUCGAUGCAACGCGAAGAACCUUACCUGGUCUUGACAUAGUAAGAACUUUCCAGAGAUGGAUUGGUGCCUUCGGGAACUUACAUACAGGUGCUGCAUGGCUGUCGUCAGCUCGUGUCGUG